UCUGAAUAAAACGGCUUGCAAGAUAUAAAUGAGGCAUAUAGAAGAAAAUCACAUUAUGUUCUCCGCUUCGCUUAGUAACAACACGUUAUAUAGUCAUACCUUUUAGACAGUUCUUUUAGAACGUAAUAUCAAGACAUGAAAAUGAUUUUAGGAAAGCUAUAAGAAAGAAUCACACGAUCCUCUUCCAAUGUUUGUACACACAUGACCAAUGGGCGGGAUCGAACUAUGCUUACCACUGAGCAAUAUUGUACAACCCGGGGCCCAUCAGCCUAACCCUAACCUUGACCCUGAUAGUUCAAUGGACAGUUCGCAAUUGCAGUGAAGGUAAAUAAUCAGCGUCCAUAGCUUCAGAGAAAUAUAGCGAGGAUUACAGAGUCAAUUAAAAUGUAAGCAACUAAAUAAAAA